GUUUGAAUGCUAUUUUGGAUCAUCGUGGUGAGGUCUUCAUUCCAGAGCUAGGUCUAACUUUUAGGUGUCCACCGUCUUUCAGAGAUUUAGCAUGUCAAAAUCCUUCUUAUCAGGGUGGUGGUAGGAAAGGCCUCCCGAGGUCCUUUCUCAAUCGGUUCACUAAGGUAUAUGUUGAUGAGUUGGUGGAGAGUGACUAUCUUUCCAUACGUAGUUCACUGUAUCCAUCUCCCAAGGUCUGUGCUUCCUAAGUUGAUUUUAUUUAAUAAGCGGCUACAUGAAGAGACCAUGGUAUAUCACAACUUUGCUCCGGAUGGCUCGCCCUGGGAGUAUGUGAUUAGGUCGUGUCAGAUUAUACAAGGUGCACUUGCGAAGAUAGACGCCAAUUCCUUUCUCAAUAUACUCUACAUUCAAAUAACUUUUUUAGUUAUUGUUGUUUCAAUGAUGUCAGAGACCAAUGAGGGCAAAAACUAUGUAUCAAACUUUUCAUUACAGAAUUGAUUACUUUUCAUUGUUGUAUGCAAUAUUGUAAAAUAGUUACUGUUGUUCAAUUUUGUUUAUG